rnacentral:rRNA from 1 species
UACAGAGGGGGCAAGCGUUAUUCGGAAUUAUUGGGCGUAAAGGGCGCGUAGGCGGCCUGACAAGUGGAAGGUGAAAUCCCUCGGCUUAACCGAGGAACUGCCCUCCAAACUGUUUGGCUUGAGUCCGGGAGAGGUGAGUGGAAUUCCCAGUGUAGCGGUGAAAUGCGUAGAUAUUGGGAGGAACACCAGUGGCGAAGGCGGCUCACUGGACCGGAACUGACGCUGAGGCGCGAAAGCGUGGGGAGCAAACGGG